rfam:Treponema saccharophilum DSM 2985 Tsacc_Contig212, whole genome shotgun sequence.
GGAGCGAUGGCAGAGAGGUCGAUUGCACCGGUCUUGAAAACCGGCAUACCGCAAGGUAUCGUGGGUUCAAAUCCUACUCGCUCCG